AGAGUUUGAUCCUGGCUCAGGACGAACGCUGGCGGCGUGCCUAAUACAUGCAAGUAGAACGCUGAAAUAAGAGCUUGCUCUUAUGGAUGAGUUGCGAACGGGUGAGUAACACGUGGGGAACCUACCUUCUAGCGGGGGAUAACACAUAGAAAUGUGUGCUAAUACCGCAUAAUAGUAUUUGAUGCAUAUCAGAUACUUGAAAGGCGCAAUUGCGUCACUAGAAGAUGGCCCCGCGGUGCAUUAGCUAGUUGGUGAGGUAACGGCUCACCAAGGCAAUGAUGCAUAGCCGACCUGAGAGGGUGAUCGGCCACACUGGGACUGAGACACGGCCCAGACUCCUACGGGAGGCAGCAGUAGGGAAUCUUCGGCAAUGGACGCAAGUCUGACCGAGCAACGCCGCGUGAGUGAAGAAGGUUUUCGGAUCGUAAAACUCUGUUGUAAGAGAAGAACGUUGAUGAGAGUGGAAAGUUCAUCAAGUGACGGUAUCUUACCAGAAAGCCACGGCUAACUACGUGCCAGCAGCCGCGGUAAUACGUAGGUGGCAAGCGUUGUCCGGAUUUAUUGGGCGUAAAGCGAGCGCAGGCGGUUGAUUAAGUCUGAUGUGAAAGCCCCCGGCUCAACCGGGGAGGGUCAUUGGAAACUGGUCAACUUGAGUGCAGAAGAGGAGAGUGGAAUUCCAUGUGUAGCGGUGAAAUGCGUAGAUAUAUGGAGGAACACCAGUGGCGAAGGCGGCUCUCUGGUCUGUAACUGACGCUGAGGCUCGAAAGCGUGGGGAGCGAACAGGAUUAGAUACCCUGGUAGUCCACGCCGUAAACGAUGAGUGCUAAGUGUUGGAGGGUUUCCGCCCUUCAGUGCUGCAGCUAACGCAUUAAGCACUCCGCCUGGGGAGUACGACCGCAAGGUUGAAACUCAAAGGAAUUGACGG
rnacentral:rRNA from 1 species